rnacentral:rRNA from 1 species
AUUGAACGCUGGCGGCAGGCCUAACACAUGCAAGUCGAACGAGCGGCGGACGGGUGAGUAAUGUAUGGGAAACUGCCCGAUAGAGGGGGAUAACUACUGGAAACGGUGGCUAAUACCGCAUACCAUCGGAUGUGCCCAUAUGGGAUUAGCUAGUAGGUGGGGUAAAGGCUCACCUAGGCGACGAUCCCUAGCUGGUCUGAGAGGAUGACCAGCCACACUGGGACUUAGACACGGUCCAGACUCCUACGGGAGGCAGCAGUGGGGAAUAUUGCACAAGGGGCGCAAGCCUGAUGCAGCCAUGCCGCGUGUAUGAAGAAGGCCUUAGGGUUGUAAAGUACUUUCAGCGGGGAGGCGUUACCCGCAGAAGAAGCACCGGCUAACUCCGUGCCAGCCGCCGCGGUAAUUC